UACAGAGGUGUCAAACGUUGUCCGGAAUUAUUGGGCGUAAAGGGCGCGUAAGCGGUUGGAUAAGUCAGCUGUGAAAUCACUGGGCUCAACCCAGUAAUUGCAUUUGAUACUGUCUAGCUUGAGUUGGGUAGAGGGGGGCGGAAUUCCCGGUGUAGCGGUGAAAUGCGUAGAUAUCGGAAGGAACAUCAGUGGCGAAAGCGACUUCCUGGACCAGUACCGACGUUCAGGCACGAAAGCGUGGGGAGCAAACAGG
rnacentral:rRNA from 1 species